AUCCAUUUUCUUGUGCUUGUCAGCACAAAAUGGAAAGCUAUAAAACUGAGUUUGAAAACUUCCRWUAUUUUAAACAAACUAUUUGAAUAUGAAGUGCAAAAAUCCUGAAUGUCAAGAUCCAGACKUUUUWGAUAAAAUUGGAUCAUUGGCUUCAGAAUUUAAGUKSUGCCCAAAAUGUGGUGCGGCGAUAGGCCAGGACGACAGAAAUUUCAAUGGAGACACAAACGAUAACCAAGCUACAAGAACUCAAUCUACCGAGAAUGUUCAAGCUUCUUCUGUCGAAAGUGCUGAUCAAAAAUUAUCUAAUGAGAAAGCAAAGGGAACAACAACAGCAGAU